rnacentral:rRNA from 1 species
GACGAACGCUGGCGGCGUGCCUAAUACAUGCAAGUAGAACGCUGAAGAGAGGAGCUUGCUCUUCUCGGAUGAGUCGCGCACGGGUGAGUAACGCGUAGGUAACCUGCCUUGUAGCGGGGGAUAACUAGUGGAAACGAUAGCUAAUACCGCAUAACAAUGGAUGGCACAUGUCAUGUAUUUGAAAGGGGCAAUUGCUGCACUACAAGAUGGACCUGCGUUGUAUUAGCUAGUAGGUGAGGUAAUGGCUCACCUAGGCGACGCUACAUAGCCGACCUGAGAGGGUGGUCGGCCGCACUGGGAGUGAGACCCGCCCCAGACGGCUACGGGAGGCAGCAGUAGGGCAUCUUGGGCCAUCGGGGGAAACCUGACCGCGAAACGCCGAGUGAGUGAAGAGGGUUGUCGGAUCGUGAAGCUCUGUUUUAGGUCAAGAACGGGUGUGAGAGUGGAAAGUUCACACUGUGACGGUAGCUUAUCAGAAAGGGACGGCUAACUACGUG